GGCCCAUUCAAUUUUUUAUGGACAAAUUAUACUUAGCCCAUUUCCUUUUCUUUUACUCUAUGUUUGCUACUCAAAUUGAGGGAGUUGUAGUACCGCAUUUGUUGCAAAUUUCAUCCCUUAUUCUUUCCUUAUAUUUAGGUUAUUUUAAACAAUUCCUUCAACCUUAAUUAUUUUAUCAUUCUUAAACUGAAACCCUAGCCGCCCUCUCCCUCUGAAUCUAUUGGUGUAAUUCAUCCUCCAAGUGCUUGUGUUUUCGCGUUAAAUUUGGAUCCGUCUCGUCCUAGUGGUGGUAGACACACGCCUCUACGAUUCCCAACUUCGUUUUUGCCUAACGACCCGUCGACUGCUCGUACUUCGGAGUCUACGCAGGGUUAUCUGUUUGUCAAGAUCACGU